AAUUUGCAGCAGUGGGCUUUCUUUAGAUGACUCUUGUAUCAGAAAUAUUUUUCUGCUUUUUGGAACAAGUAACAUAUGAUGUCUUGAUGCCAACAAAGUGUCAUUGGAAAGAUUGUAAAAAGAUGUUAAGGUAUUUGACAAAUCUGUAAUCAUGUUAAUAAAGUGUUUUUGUUUUUUUUGUAUUCUUAAAUUAGCAAGAGAAACCAAAAGUUGGAGGAUGGAACAUUUGUUUCCCGUUACUAGUUAUCUAUAACAAAAGCUUUCCAGGCAGACACCCAUCCACAGAGCCAUGGGUGAUAGAUGAUAUUCACAGUGGGCACGACUGCAUUGUAAAUUGGUGUCACUUUUACAAAGCAAAACAGAUUUAGAUAACAUGUCUACUAUGAAAGAGAUCAUGUGUCUAAAUGAAAAUGGCUCUCCCAAGUGUGUCAUUCUGAUGACUCUUGAAAACAAGUUGACCGUUUUGAAGCAUCUCAGGACAAAGCUCAAGUUCUAGUUUGCAGUGGUAUUAGAAAAGUCGUUGCUUUUUGGUUAGAGUUUCUUCGCCGUCCGAUGCAUCAAUCGGAAUGAUGUUCACUUCCUUCACGUCAUUGCUCACAGGUUAUAUCGACCUUCAAAGGCAAAUCAUAAGAGGGUAUUCUUUUCCUUGACAUAAAGACCGGAAAUUUUAUGCAUUAGCAAGUCAUCCGCAUCCAAAUAGAUCAAACGCACGAGGUAUUUCGCCUCGUCCGGGAACUUACCAUCAAGCAAGGCAUCCAUCAACAGAAUGUGUUAAAGAGGAACGUAAUGACCAAAUGCCGACUGGACGAUUUCCAUGCAAGAUGAAUGUUAAAAUCCAAGGGUAUCUGGAGAACCCUUAGCUGAAUACAAUUAAUACUAUCAGUUCUCCAGAACAAGAGGCCGACAUAGGUUAAUAAUCAUACUGAAUCAAAAGAGGUACAUCCUUGAACGAGAUUUUAAAACGAUAACAGCUAGAAGGGCAUGUGUAAAUUUCAAUGGACGCUACCUGCACGUUACCUUUAGUCGCUGAUUCAUCUCGAAGAUAAAAUAAAAUUUUUUUUAUUGAA
rnacentral:lncRNA from 1 species